rnacentral:rRNA from 1 species
UACGGAGGAUCCAAGCGUUAUCCGGAAUCAUUGGGUUUAAAGGGUCCGUAGGCGGUUUGGUAAGUCAGUGGUGAAAGCCCAUCGCUCAACGGUGGAACGGCCAUUGAUACUGCCAGACUUGAAUUAUUAGGGAAGUAACUAGAAUAUGUAGUGUAGCGGUGAAAUGCUAGAGAUUACAUGGAAUACCCGAAUUGCGAAGGCAGGUUGACU